rnacentral:tRNA from 1 species
CGGGCCGUAGCUCAGUUGGUAGAGCGCCUGGUUUGGGACCAGGAGGUCCCGAGUUCGAGCCUCGGCGGCCCGA